AGAGUUUGAUCCUGGCUCAGGACGAACGCUGGCGGCGCGCCUAACACAUGCAAGUCGAACGAGAGAUGAGGAGCUUGCUCUUCAAAUCGAGUGGCGAACGGGUGAGUAACGCGUGAGGAACCUGCCUCAAAGAGGGGGACAACAGUUGGAAACGACUGCUAAUACCGCAUAAGCCCACGGCUCGGCAUCGAGCAGGGGGAAAAGGAGCAAUCCGCUUUGAGAUGGCCUCGCGUCCGAUUAGCUAGUUGGUGAGGUAACGGCCCACCAAGGCGACGAUCGGUAGCCGGACUGAGAGGUUGAACGGCCACAUUGGGACUGAGACACGGCCCAGACUCCUACGGGAGGCAGCAGUGGGGAAUAUUGCACAAUGGGGGAAACCCUGAUGCAGCGACGCCGCGUGGAGGAAGAAGGUCUUCGGAUUGUAAACUCCUGUUGUUGAGGAAGAUAAUGACGGUACUCAACAAGGAAGUGACGGCUAACUACGUGCCAGCAGCCGCGGUAAAACGUAGGUCACAAGCGUUGUCCGGAAUUACUGGGUGUAAAGGGAGCGCAGGCGGGAGAACAAGUUGGAAGUGAAAUCCAUGGGCUCAACCCAUGAACUGCUUUCAAAACUGUUUUUCUUGAGUAGUGCAGAGGUAGGCGGAAUUCCCGGUGUAGCGGUGGAAUGCGUAGAUAUCGGGAGGAACACCAGUGGCGAAGGCGGCCUACUGGGCACCAACUGACGCUGAGGCUCGAAAGUGUGGGUAGCAAACAGGAUUAGAUACCCUGGUAGUCCACACCGUAAACGAUGAUUACUAGGUGUUGGAGGAUUGACCCCUUCAGUGCCGCAGUUAACACAAUAAGUAAUCCACCUGGGGAGUACGACCGCAAGGUUGAAA
rnacentral:rRNA from 1 species